rnacentral:ncRNA from 1 species
AGGAGGUGCUUAGCUCUGCAGUGUUGGCAAUCUGAUUAUCUAUGCUAAUCUAAAUCAGCUUACAUCACACCUACGCUGCUUGAGCUACCAGUUCUUUCCCCUUCCGUUCAGAGAGCCUUUUCCACAAAAAAAAGGCGCAUCAUUGACCGACCUAUUCUACUCUUAGAAAGGUUUGAGUAAGAGCGCAUCUGUUGGGACCCGAAAGAUGGUGAACUAUGCCUGAAUAGGGUGAAGCCAGAGGAAACUCUGGUGGAGGCUCGUAGCGAUUCUGACGUGCAAAUCGAUCGUCAAAUUUGGGUAUAGGGGCGAAAGACUAAUCGAACUGUCUAGUAGCUGGUUCCCUCCGAAGUUUCCCUCAGGAUAGCUGGAACUUACGGCAGUUUUAUCAGGUAAAGCGAAUGAUUAGAGGUCUUAGGGUUAAAACAACCUUAACCUAUUCUCAAACUUUAAAUUGGUAAGAAGUCCGACUUG